UGCCUCCCAACCAUAUUGCACGGCGACGGCGUUUAUUGCGGCCUUGCGAGGUUUGUGUACGCAAAAAAGUUCAUUUCGUGCCGAAAUUGAACAAAGCUUCACCUGAGACGAUGCCAGGUAUCUGCUGUAAUGUUCGGGGAUACACCAAGUGUGCUCUUUGGACAAGGGACGUUGUGUACCACAAGAUUCCAAUGGAAAAUGCACGGAAACGAAAGUUGUUGCAAGCGCUUGGUCAAGACGUUCGUGAGCCACGCCGUAUUUGCUCAACCCAUUUCUCUGACGACUCGUACGAAAUGGUAGCAGCGGAUGGUCGAAAACUUCUCACACGGACGGCAGCCCCGACCCCGACACCAGUGUUUCAACAUGUGACGUCUGAGGAUGCGAACACCAGUGCAGAUGAGCGACACAGGCUUCCAUCGUGACUGACAAGAAUGUGAAACUCAGAAGUAAAAGGGUGUCAACGCAUGAUUUACCGUCAACACCUCUCAACCUUUAUCCAGUGAUGAAUUCAACAUCUAUGGUCCAUACACACUCAUGCUCACAGGUGCAUGAUAUGACGAUAUCUUCACCACUGGUGGAACCAGCUGUUGAGUCAUUCUGGAAAUCUGAAGACAACAGUUUUGAAUGGCCUGCUGAUACAAGUUUGCAGAUACCAAAAUAUCUUCUACUUUGCAGUGUUGUGCCCUCUGGUUCACCAGACCAGAAGAAGUACAUCAAAUGUGCAUCAUAUUCAGAACUUCCGGUGCAUCUCACAAAGAGGCCACUGAUGUUCGCAUCACGCUUCUCACCACAAAAGCAGAGUGCCCAAGUGAACACAACAACGUCGGCCAGAAGUCAACAAGAUGGCUGCAGGGAACAUCCUGCUGUCCUGCACAAUCCUUUUCAAUGGGACCAGUGUAGCCAAGGUGUGAAUUCAUAGUGCCUUAUGUUUUCACAGAUUCAAAUGACACCUUGUAGUAUUUGCUGUUGACCAGUUCUGUGGUUACUCGAGCUAAUUAAUAUUGAAGUCACCUCAACAUACCUCACCUACAACACCUACCAGAAAGGUCGCAGGCUCCAUUUCGCGACACAGGUAGGAUUAUCAACUCACGGUCAUGAGAGACUGAAACAUCCAAAUAAUCUUACUGAAACACAAGCUUUCGAAUAGAGUCUGUCCUUCAUUAGGUAUGAUACAGACACACAUGGUACAGAUAUUUAUACUGAUGUACAUUAGAGAAAGGGAAUAAAGAAGGUAGUGAGGAGGAAAUCCAAAUUCUUGUUAGAAAGUAUUGAGGGCACGAAAAAAUAAUACAAAACAAGGCACACAGGCAUUGCGUAGUUGAAUUUUCAGUUACAAUACUUCUAUCUGCAACAAUGACAUAAAAGGUACAUGUAGUAAAAGGUAAAAAGAACAAGCUUGUACAAUUGCAAUAUGCAAAUGCCAUGCUCAGGAAUGCUUAGUGGCGAUGUAGUCCACAAGAGGACCUUGUAACAGAGGGCUAAGAUACCGAUGAGUUAAGAAAAAGCUCGAACCUGCAAUCAAGUGCCGUGCACGUGCUGAGCUAAACCAGUGGAUGCAGCGUACUUGUAACCACCUUUACAGGUGUAGUUCCAAUUCUGAGGGAAAUGCAGAGCUUCUACAUAGCAUGUGGAGAAGUAUGAGCUUACGUAUACAAAUCAGCUGUCAUUCAGGAAACAAUGUAUAGAAGCUUCGAGAUAAUGUGUCUAGGUUUGACCUGGCACGCUUUCAACAGCCAUGACAGCCAUGAGGGGCCAUGUUUCGAUAUAAAGAGCAUAGGGAAGACACUUAGCCAUGACCAUAUCUUAUCUUCGCAGAGGAUGUAGAUCACCUCAGGAGUGAAACACCAACAACUUGCAAAGAUGUGAGCUACAGUGAAAUAGUAGCGGUCUGCAAAAGGCCUGAGCCCGUACCAAUGGCUGCAAUUGGACUGGUAUGAGGGAAAACAUGGGAAAUUUAUAAUAAGAAAUUGAGAAAGUGUUGCAAAGAUGGAUGUGCACAGACACAGAAAAGGUCUAAAAUUUUUGUCAAUGAUAGGUAUGCCUCUCAAGAGAAGCCACUAUUGAUUGGCAUGACCCCAUGUAAGGCCUUCUUAUACUGAUAAAGUCAUGAACGCGAGGUGUUAUAUUUAUGUAUUUAUUUAUUUCUAUUUUUCUGGUGCCCAUGAAUGGCCAGAGGGCCUCCCUAAUGGUGCACCAUACAGACAGUCAAUACAAAGAAAUGAAUUAAAACGCCAUAAUUACAUACGAUAAAACAAAAACAAAUACUACGACAAAGACAAAACCAUGUAGAUGGCGAGACAACAACUGGCCUAGCUUUGGACCCAUCAUGAAGGAGGCAUCGAAGUUGGCGUACGACCCCAAAUAGGUCACCACUGAACAGAUCAAAAACCCCGGAAUGGGAGUUAUAUACAAUCUGAAGCCUCAAAGAAGGCGAUUUCUUGUAACUGUUACCACAUACAUAAAAUGUUUUGUGGGUUCUAGUGUUGCAAUGUGGAACGUAGAAAUGGACCCUUGAUACGAUCGCAGCUGAAUCGGUAUAUAUCUAUAUCAAUAUAUAAAUCAAUUAUAGGCAAGGUGAUAGCCUAUGUUCUCUUAGAGCUUAUGGACUGGAACGUGUUUGCGGCAAACACCUGUGCACUGCACAGAAUAAAAAAAAAGCAUACAUACAUUGCGUUACUGGUUGGUGUGAAGUAGCACUUGCAAAUUGAUAUGAAUACAGUAUGGGGAUAUAGUCACUGAGGGUCCGAAGUUGGGGAAGUCGGUACAUGACAAGUUCACACCACCGCAGCCAGAAACAGGGGAGUUUCGAGUCUCAGCUAGAAAAAAUGCGGGUUGGGGGUUAUCCCGAGGAUCUACUCAUCUCUGUGGCAGAGUGCCUUGUUCGGAAAUGUAAGGGCUUACCGAAGCUUGGUGGGAGCCGGGUGGAGGGUAGACCGGUCUCAAUUCCCUAUUUUCACGGACUUGCACAUAACAUAAAGAAAGUAGGUGUCAGACAUAAUGUUCCUGUUUUGAUCUCAGCCCCUUGCAAGUUGUAUAGUCUUUGCCCUAAGGUGAACAAGCGACAAAAAAGACAUGUGUGUAACACCAAACACAAAAACAGAUGGGUUGAUUGCCGCCAGUGUGUGGUUUAUUGUAUUCCGCUAUCCUGUGGAAGAGUGUACAUCGGCCAGACGGGCAGGUGUAUCAAUACUAGGUUACGUGAGCACGCGACGUUGUUGAAAGGGAUGCCACCGUCGGGCCACUUGGCAUUCCACUGCGAUAGAUGUGGAUGCUCGCCUGCCUUUGAUAAAACCUCAAUAGAAAUUAAUCUCCGAUCACAGCAGGAUCGAGAGAUAUACGAAGCAUUCUUGAUUGAGGAAAAAGGAGAAAAAUGUGUCAGCGCUCCCUCUAUCGCCCUCAUACAGGAGGAAUUUUGUUAUCUAAAAAAAUAGGUCAGAUACAUAGGGGAACAGGUGCCUGCUCUGGUAUUUAAGAGUGUAUGUGUGUUCAACAGUAAAGUAGUCGUGAGUUGCAGUUCGUCCUGUUUUGUGUGUGCCUUUUGUCUGUGUUUCUGGCUGCGGUGGUGUGAACCAAUAUGGGGAUGUUCUCCUUCAUUGUUUGCUUGUUUACUGCUAUCUCUUGUAUGCUCAUUCAUAAACACAGUGAUCAAUAAAGCAACAUUACAAGCCUUGA